rnacentral:rRNA from 1 species
GACGAACGCUGGCGGCGUGCUUAACACAUGCAAGUCGAGCGGUAAGGCCCUUUCGGGGGUACACGAGCGGCGAACGGGUGAGUAACACGUGGGUGACCUGCCUCUAGCUCUGGGAUAAGCCUGGGAAACUGGGUCUAAUACCGGAUACGACUCCGCGGUGCAUGCUGUGGGGUGGAAANCCUUGUGCGGCUGGAGAUGGGCCCGCGGCCUAUCAGCUUGUUGGUGGGGUNAUGGCCACCAAGGCGACGACGGUAGCCGGCCUGAGAGGGCGACCGGCCACACUGGGACUGAGACACGGCCCAGACUCCUACGGGAGGCAGCAGUGGGGAAUCUUGCGCAAUGGGCGAAAGCCUGACGCAGCGACGCCGCGUG